ACGGGAGGCAGCAGUGGGGGAUAUUGGACAAUGGGGGAAACCCUGAUCCAGCGACGCCGCGUGAGUGAAGAAGUAUUUCGGUAUGUAAAGCUCUAUCAGCAGGGAAGAAAAAAUCAAAAUUGACUGUACCUGACUAAGAAGCCCCGGCUAACUACGUGCCAGCAGCCGCGGUAAUACGUAGGGGGCAAGCGUUAUCCGGAUUUACUGGGUGUAAAGGGUGCGUAGGCGGCAUAGCAAGUUAGUCGUUAAAGACCAGAGCUUAACUCUGGAUGAGCGAUUAAAACUGCUAAGCUAGAGUACAGGAGAGGUUAGUGGAAUUACUAGUGUAGAGGUGGAAUUCGUAGAUAUUAGUAAGAACACCAAUGGCGAAGGCAGCUAACUGGCCUGAAACAGACGCUGAGGCACGAAAGUGUGGGGAGCAAACAGGAUUAGAUACCCUGGUA
rnacentral:rRNA from 1 species